AACGGCCGUACCAUGCUGAAUAUACCGGUUCUCGUUAGAUCACCGAAGUUAAGCAUCAUUGGGCGCGGUCAGUACUUGGGUGGGUGACCACCUGGGAACACUGCGCGCCGU
rnacentral:rRNA from 1 species